CCUACGGGAGGCAGCAGUGAGGAAUAUUGGUCAAUGGGCGGAAGCCUGAACCAGCCAAGUCGCGUGAGGGAUUAAGGCCCUGCGGGUCGUAAACCUCUUUUGCCGGGGAGCAGAGGUCCGGACGUGUCCGGGCCGGGAGAGUACCCGGAGACAAAGCAUCGGCUAACUCCGUGCCAGCAGCCGCGGUAAUACGGAGGAUGCGAGCGUUAUCCGGAUUUAUUGGGUUUAAAGGGUGCGUAGGCGGGCAUUUAAGCCGGCGGUCAAAUGUCGGGGCUCAACCCCGGCCUGCCGUCGGAACUGGGUGCCUUGAGUGGGCGAGAAGUAGGCGGAAUGCGUGGUGUAGCGGUGAAAUGCAUAGAUAUCACGCAGAACCCCGAUUGCGAAGGCAGCAUACCGGCGCCCGACUGACGCUGAGGCACGAAAGUGCGGGUAUCGAACAGGAUUAGAUACCCCAGUAGUC
rnacentral:rRNA from 1 species